rnacentral:misc_RNA from 1 species
GAUGAAGACGCAGCGAAAUGCGAUACGUAGUGUGAAUUGCAGAAUUCAGUCAAUCAUCGAAUCUUUGAACGCACAUUGCACCUCUCGGUAUUCCGGGAGGUAUGCCUGUUCGAGCGUCAUUUGUACCCUCAAGCUCUGCUUGGUGUUGGGUGUUUGUUCCGCCUCUGUGUGUGAACUCGCCUCAAAACAAUUGGCAGCCGGCGUACUUGUUUCGGAGCGCAGCACAUUUUGCGAUCCAGAUCAACGUACAGCGGCAUCCAAGAAGCCUUAUUUAACGCUCUUGACCUCGGAUCAGGUAGGGAUACCCGCUGAACUUAAGCAUAUCAAUAAGCGGAGGA